rnacentral:lncRNA from 1 species
GUGAUUCUAUAAACUUCCCUAAAUGUCUUCAUCAACCAUGUGAAUUACCUGUUUCUGGAGGUUGAUUUCUACUUUUUUAGUUUUCUUACUCAUGUGGUCGGUUUUUCAGUUUUGAUCUCAUUCUAAAAUAGAUACAUGGUAACUGGUCAGAUAUAUUUUUAUAUAGCACAGGAUUCUUGACAGACAUGUCAAACUGAACUGAUAUUUUGCCCAUUUUAAGUGCCUACAGACAUAGUGAAAUGGCCCUGUUCAUCUUCAUAAUAUUUUAUCUUUUACUGGUGGUUAAAUUGCAAGGUUUGGCAACCAUGUCGUCUUUGCCACCAAUCACAGAGGGCAGCCCAACUACAGUGAUUCCCAAUGGAACCUUACAAGUGAAUUUGUCCACUGCAUCAACAAUGAACACAACAUUUUUGGGUGUAACAUCCACUACUGAGUCUGAAAUCACAAC